UCCCUGGCAGUCCAGUGGUUAAGACUUUGCCUUUCAAUGCAAGGGGUGUAGGUUCGAUCCCUGCUCUGGGAG
rnacentral:tRNA from 1 species